rnacentral:sRNA from 12 species
ACAGUGGCAUCCGAGUUAGAACUUAACGGUAUUAGCCCACCGCCCGACAUGGUCGAAGAGG